rnacentral:sRNA from 1 species
GUUAUAUUUAUUUUGCUCAUUUUUUAUUUAACCGCUAUAGUAUCCGCUGGUUUACCAAUCAUAAAACUCUCGCAACCGCAACCGCAUCCACUGCAUUUAAACCAGUCAAGAUUAGAAAUA